GCCAAGAAGGUGGCUCAGUUGGUAGAGCACAACACUCUUAACCUUGUGGUCGUGGGUUUGAGCCCCACGGUGGGCG
rnacentral:tRNA from 1 species